rnacentral:rRNA from 1 species
GACGAACGCUGGCGGCGUGCUUAAUACAUGCAAGUCGAACGGAAAGACCCUGCUCUUGUGCGUUUCUCGAUUGCCGAACGCGUGAGUAACACGUGAGUAACCUGCCCUUGUCUUUCUGAUAACUCUUGGAAACUCGGGCUCAUAUCGGGUAGGAUCUCCUGCUCCAUGUUGUGGGUUGGUAAGUUUCGGCGUUUGUGGAUGGACUCGCUGCGUAUCAGCUUGUUUGUGGGGUAGUGGCUUACCAAGGCUAUGACGGGUAGCCGGCCUGAGAGGGUGAAAGGCCACAUUGGGACUGAGAUGAGGCAGAGACUCCUAAGGGAGGGAGCAGUGGGAAAUACUGACCAAUGGGCGGAAGGCUGAUGCAGCAACGCCGCGUGUGGGAUGACGCCCUUAGGGUUGUAAAACGAUUGUGCCUGUGACGAAGCGUGAGUGAAGGUAAUGGGUACAGAAACACCGGCUAACUAAGUG